rnacentral:snRNA from 1 species
GUGCUCGCUUUUGCAGCAUAUAUACUAAAAUUGGAACAAUACAGAAAUUAGCAUGGCCCCUGUGCAAGGAUGACACACAAAUUUGUAAAGCAUUCCACAUUUUU